rnacentral:rRNA from 1 species
CAUAGCCUACGGGGGGCAGCAGUAGGGAAUUUUCGUCAAUGGGCGCAAGCCUGAACGAGCGAUGCCGCGUGAGUGAAGAGGGCCUUCGGGUCGUAAAGCUCUGUUGCGGGGGAAAAAAGGCAGCAUCAGGAAAUGGGUGCUGACUGAUGGUGCCCCGCCAGAAAGUCACGGCUAACUACGUGCCAGCAGCCGCGGUAAUACGUAGGUGGCGAGCGUUAUCCGGAAUGAUUGGGCGUAAAGGGUGCGCAGGCGGUCCUGCAAGCCUGGAGUGAAAGGCGGGGGCUCAACCCCCGGACUGCUCUGGG